rnacentral:rRNA from 1 species
CUCGUAGCUUGCCAUGAGAACAGUUAGUGGCAGACGGGUGAGUAAUGCAUAGGAAUCUACCUAGUAGUAUAGGAUAGCCACUAGAAGUGGUGGGUAAUACUGUAUAAUCCCCGCGGGGGAAAGAUUUAUCGCUACAUGAUGAGCCUAUGUUAGAUUAGCUAGUUGGUGGGGUAAUGGCCUACCAAGGCAGUGAUCUAUAGCUGGUCUGAGAGGAUGAUCAGCCACACUGGAACUGAGACACGGUCCAGACUCCUACGGGAGGCAGCAGUGGGGAAUAUUGGACAAUGGGCGCAAGCCUGAUCCAGCUAUGCCGCGUGAGUGAGGAAGGCCUUAGGGUUGUAAAACUCUUUCAGUGGGGAAGAUAAUGACGGUACCCACAGAAGAAGUCCCGGCAAACUCCGUGCCAGCAGCCGCGGUAAUACGGAGGGGGCAGGCGUUGUUCGGAAUUAUUGGGCGUAAAGGGCAUGUAGGUGGUUUGGUUAGUUAAAGGUGAAAUGCCAGGGCUUAACCCAGGAGCUGCUUUUAAUACUGCCAGACUGGAGUCCGGGAGA